rnacentral:lncRNA from 1 species
CUGGGGGGCUGUGAGUCUGGCUGAACUGAAUAAUGCCAGGCUAGGCCUGGGGGGCUGUAGUCUGGCGGAACUGAUAAUGCCAGGCUAGGCCUGGGGUGCUGUGAGCUGGCUGAACUGAAUAUUGCGAAUCUAGCCUGGGGAGCUGUGUGAACUGAAUGUCAGGCUAGGUCUGGGGAGCUGUGUGAACUGAAUUGUCAGGCUAGGUCUGGGAAGCUGUGUGAACUGAAUGUCAGGCUAGGUCUGGGGAGCUGUGUGAACUGAAUGUCAGGCUAGGUCCGGGAGCUGUGUGAACUGAAUGUUGUCAGGCUAGGUC